rnacentral:rRNA from 1 species
GACGAACGCUGGCGGCGUGCUUAACACAUGCAAGUCGAACGGAAAGGCCCUGCUUUUGUGGGGUGCUCGAGUGGCGAACGGGUGAGUAACACGUGAGUAACCUGCCCUUGACUUUGGGAUAACUUCAGGAAACUGGGGCUAAUACCGGAUAGGAGCUCCUGCUGCAUGGGGGGGGUUGGAAAGUUUCGGCGGUUGGGGAUGGACUCGCGGCUUAUCAGCUUGUUGGUGGGGUAGUGGCUUACCAGGGCUUUGACGGGUAGCCGGCCUGAGAGGGUGACCGGCCCCAUUGGGACUGCGAUACGGCCCAGACUCCUACGGGAGGCAGCAGUGGGGAAUAUUGCACAAUGGGCGGAAGCCGGAUGCAGCAACGCCGCGUGCGGGAUGACGGCCUUCGGGUUGUAAACCGCUUUCGCCUGUGACGAAGCGUGAGUGACGGUAAUGGGUAAAGAAGCACCGGCUAACUACGUG